GGCGAACGCUGGCGGCGUGCUUAAGACAUGCAAGUCGAACGGGCUCUUCGGAGCUAGUGGCGCACGGGUGAGUAACGCGUAACUGACCUACCCCAAAGUCGCGGAUAACGAUUCGAAAGAAUCGCUAAUACGUGAUGUGCUGUCAGAUCCUGUUCUGCCAGUAAAGAUUUAUUGCUUUGGGAUGGGGUUGCGUUCCAUCAGCUAGUUGGUGGGGUAAAGGCCCACCAAGGCGACGACGGAUAGCCGGCCUGAGAGGGUGGCCGGCCACAGGGGCACUGAGACACGGGUCCCACUCCUACGGGAGGCAGCAGUUAGGAAUCUUCCACAAUGGGCGAAAGCCUGAUGGAGCGACGCCGCGUGAGGGAUGAAGGUCUUCGGAUCGUAAACCUCUGAAUCAGGGACGAAAGACACUUUAUGUGGGAUGACGGUACCUGAGUAAUAGCACCGGCUAACUCCGUGCCAGCCGCCGCAGUAACAC
rnacentral:rRNA from 1 species